rnacentral:misc_RNA from 1 species
GGAAAGUAAAAGUCGUAACAAGGUCUCCGUAGGUGAACCUGCGGAGGGAUCAUUACAGAGUUCAUGCCCUACCGGGUAGAUCUCCCACCCUAUGUUAUUAUUACUUUGUUGCUUUGGCGGGCCGUUAGGCUCCGGCCCGACUACCGGCCCCGGCUGGUAAGCGCCCGCCAGAGGACCCAAAACCCUGAAUAUUAGUGUCGUCUGAGUACUAUAUAAUAGUUAAAACUUUCAACAACGGAUCUCUUGGUUCUG